CGGGGAACUGCGGGGCGGACUGGCGGCCCUUGAGGCAGGUAUGGGCGGACAGAACUGUCGGUGGAGCGGUGAAAUGCGUAGAGAUCGACAGGAAUGCCUAUGGUGAAGACGGUCCGCUGGGCCUGUCCUGACGCUCAGGCACGAAAGCGUGGGGAGCAAACAGGAUUAGAUACCCUGUAGUCCACGCCGUAAACGAUGCGCACUGGAUCGGUGCCGGUCUGACCCGGUAUCGGUCGUAGGGAAACCGAUAAGUGCGCCGCCUGGGGAGUACGGUCGCAAGGCUAAAACUCAAAGGAAUUGACGGGGGCUCACACAAGCGGUGGAGCAUGUGGCUUAAUUCGGGGCAACGCGAAGAACCUUACCUGGGUUUGACAUGCUUGGAUUAACUCUUGGAAACAGGAGCCACACCCGCAAGGGUGGAACAAGCACAGGUGCUGCAUGGCUGUCGUCAGCUCGUGCUGUGAAGUGUCGGGUUAAGUCCCUUAACGAGCGCAACCCCUGUCGCUAGUUGCUCACGGGUCAUGCCGAGUACUCUAGCGAGACUGCCGGUGUCAAACCGGAGGAAGGUGGGGAUGAUGUCAAGUCCUCAUGGCCCUUACAUCCAGGGAUGCACACGUGCUACAAUGGGGUGAACAAAGCGACGCGAUGCCGCGAGGCGGAGCAAAUCGCAAAAAACACCCCCCAGUUCGGAUUGCAGGCUGCAACUCGCCUGCAUGAAGCCGGAAUCGCUAGUAAUCGCGGAUCAGCUACGCCGCGGUGAAUGUGUUCCUGAGCCUUGUACACACCGCCCGUCAAGUCAUGGGAGCCGGUAGCGCCCGAAGCCGCCACGAUUCAGUGGUGUCUACGGCAAGAUCGGUAACUGGGACUAAGUCGUAACAAGGGUAACC
rnacentral:rRNA from 1 species